GUCUGGUUAAUUCCGUUAACGAACGAGACCUUAACCUGCUAACUAGUCGUGCCGUUUUCGAACGGCGGGGCGCGGUCGGUUCGGUUGGGGGCUCGCGCCUCGUUCCGUUCCGGUCCGUCCCAGGUCCUCCGGGGCCGGGCGACUUCUUAGAGGGACACUCGGCGUUUCAGCCGGGGGAGGACUGAGGCAAUAACAGGUCUGUGAUGCCCUUAGAUGUUCUGGGCCGCACGCGCGCUACACUGGCGGAGACAGCGAGCGUGUCCUUCGCCGGAAGGUGCGGGCAAUCUUGCGAGUCUCCGCCGUGCUUGGGAUUGAUGGUUNCAAUUUUCGAUCAUGAACGAGGAAUUCCUAGUAAGC
rnacentral:rRNA from 1 species